rnacentral:lncRNA from 1 species
AAUGAGACCUUUGGCAUGGCUUUAUUGUUUUUUGGUUUUUUGUUUUUGUUUUUUUUAAAUUUUUUUUUUAAAAAGGUUUUUUUUUUUUGUUUUGUUUUGGCGCUUUUGACUCAGGAUUUAAAAACUGGAACGGUGAAGGCGACCGCAGUUGGUUGGAGCAAACAUCCCCCAAAGUUCUACAAUGUGGCUGAGGACUUUGAUUGUACAUUGUUUUUUGUUUUUGGUUUUUUUAAUAGUCACUCCAAGUAUCCACGGCAUAGAUGGUUACAGGAAGUCCCUCACCCUCCCAAAAGCCACCCCCAACUCCUAAGGGGAGGAUGGCUGCAUCCAUGCCCUGAGUCCACACCGGGGAAGGUGACAGCAUUGCUUCUGUGUAAAUUAUGUACUGCAAACAUUUUUUUAAAUCUUCCGCCUUAAUACUUCAUUUUUGUUUUUAAUUUCUGAAUGGUCAGCCAUUGUGGCCUGCCCCUUUUUUUUGUCCCCCCAACUUGAUGUAUGAAGGCUUUUGGUCCCCUUGGGAGCGGGUUGAGGUGCGGAGGCAGUCAGGGCUUUCCUGCACACUGACUUGAGACCAGUUAAAUAAAGUGCACAAUUAAAC